rnacentral:rRNA from 1 species
UACGUAGGGACCAAGCGUUGUUCGGAUUUACUGGGCGUAAAGGGCGCGUAGGCGGCUUAACAAGUCACUUGUGAAAUCUCCGGGCUUAACUCGGAACGGCCAAGUGAAACUGUCAAGCUAGAGUGCGGAAGGGGCAAUCGGAAUUCUUGGUGUAGCGGUGAAAUGCGUAGAUAUCAGGAGGAACACCAAUUGCGAAGGCAGCUCGCUGGGACGUUACUGACGCUGAGACGCGAAAGCGUGGGGAGCAAACAGG